UAGAACAGUCAAACGACACUCGACCUGCCGUUUACUGCCAACUAUCGUACCGGAGACGUUGUACGCGUGAGGCCCAUAUCGUUGCAUGUCUGUGGUGCGACAGCUCAAAGCUGCAAAACCAGCUGCUGCCACUCAACCAAGCGACGCACAGCCUGGUUGGACCAGAUAUUAAAGCUAGAAGCAAGAUUCCAGCCAAUCCCAAGUGAAAGAGCAAGGAGCAUGUGAUGGUGUUUCCAACCAGGCCUUCGCUUUUAUAGACUCUUAAUCCUCCAGCUCAACCAACCCAGGCUAAGAGAUGACAGCAACGAUAACAAUGCGAAGAACCACAGCUCACAGCCGGAGAAGGAGAAAGAGGUGAAAAGCACGAGAAUCUUCAGACUAAAAGGCCUUAACACUGAGCCCGUGGCCUUUCAGAGGAGGGAAACAAGGUAGUCAGCCUCCAACAACCCGCCUCCGGUUGACCUUUCUGCUGUCGUUUCUGACAAGCUGCCGUUCAGUUGAGCUGAAGGCCGUGACUCGUGCGUGUGGUGUAAUUUCCUACCUUCAGCAUUAGGAGACCUAAAUGAUUUACUGCUAAGUUCAUGUUAAAAGUGAAGCUUUUCCGCUAAAACAGGCAAAGGAACAUAAAGAGGUCAUAAAAGAAAAAAAGAAUGAAAUUAGAAAAAGUACACAAUUCUGUUGACAAUACAACACUUUUAGUCUUUUCUUAGAACUGAAAUCAACUGAAUUCAAAGGUUAAGAGAACAUAUUUGGGUUGUGAAUUUGUUUAUUAGCCCAUUUAGGACAGAACUCAAGCCUAAGAAAGUGCCCACCUGUGUUUUUCUUUCAGCUUGGAUCCCUAUUUGGCAGAAAUAUGCCUGUUACGUGGAUAAAUAUGACGUCUGGUAUAAUAAAACACGUUUGGCUGAGAUGAUCUAUUUGGAUUCAGAGAUACUAAGGAAACAAGGUUCUGUUGACACAAUUACUAUUUUUAGUUCUAGUCUUCCCUCAGUGUCCUUCAGUUGAUGGCACUGUUCUUCAGCGUGUGAAUAAAAUGUUUAAUAUCAAAGUUAGAAAACAUAUGAACCUCAUCUGGUAAACAAAGCAACAUAACUUAAUUACAUUUUCUGCAAAAUCUCUUUCAAUAAAUGAAGUGAAGAAACUGAAUCUAAAAUUGAAAAAAACAGGUACAUCAUAUAUGUCACCUGAGAGAGUUUAUUUAAAUACAAAACAUACUGGUUUCUAAGAUCCACCUGUGUGACAUAGAAAAGACUUGAUGGAGAUUCAUUUCAAUUGAGACCUAUCAAGAAUAAUAAUGGAUUAAUACCUUUUCAUUGUGCUUAGAUUUAGAAAAGGGGAAGACCUGCUAAAGCCAUUUGAUUUAUGCUUCCUCCACCGCUCUUUAUAAAAACGUGACAUACAGUUAGUGAUAUGCUUUGACCUUUUAUUUAAAGAUUUACAGACUGUUGGCCUGUAAACGUCUGACCAAACCAACAGAACUCCAUGGACAAAACGCCCGCUUUCCUUCAUCUCACUGCACCAUGCAGUGUAAAUAUGACCAUGUACAACAAAUGAAAACCUGCUGAGCCCUAGAGCUCGAACCCGUGCACGUGCACAGGAGCUGGACGGACGCUCCGAGUUCCACCCUGCACCUUAUCAAGCGGCUUCAGGCGCCGCCGUGGGCCGUCUGCCACCUGAUAGCUCACCUCAGAGCCGAGAAGUGAGUCCCCAGCUGUGACGGACCUCCCCACCUCAAACCCCAGAAUCACCACGCGCCAGAUGCUGAGCGGUUACGCGAUACGCGGCGGAUCUAGUGGUCGGCAUGAGGAGCUCCGGUCCAGGAUUACACUGCUUUAAAGGUGCGAGGAGAGAGCGAUGUACAAACAUCAACUGACCUUUGCGCUCCGUGAUUAGGUGAACAACGCGUGUCCACAGCUGGCGUCAGUGCCAUUUCUGCAUCUGGAACGGAUGGCGUGUCCCUCUUCGUGUCCCAGCUCCACUCUAACCUUUCCAGGCUGUUUAUCGCCCAUCUCCGUUAAUGUAAACUGCCCAUCUGUUUUAAACACAGCGCAUAAAGAAUCAUUUCCCACCACGCCACAGCUCUGAAAGAAAAAGAUUGCUGGUUAGUCUGAUGAACUGGAAACGCUCUUGUGUGUUUUGGAGAAGGAGCCGUGAAGGUAAAGGGGCUUCAAAGGAGUGAGGGUGCGCAGUCGGGACUGAUUAGGUGUGUGGUAGCUGGAAACGCGCAGGGCAGCGAUUGCUCCGGUUCCUGCGUGUGAGAGGGUUUCUUCGAUGGGCUGAGGAGACGAGAGGCACACGGAGAGGAAUCAGGAGGAAGUCGGUACCCACAGCACGAUGUGGCGUUUCAUAAGACACUUAAAAAUCAGUCCGCGGCUCUAAAUAACAGGCCACCAUGCAGCUACAAUCAGCCUCUGACCGCCAUGAUCCAAAUAAACAAACACGGGCAUAAUGAAAGAAGAUUCUCUCAUUAUGCUGGGACAUCGCUUCACCUCAUCCAUCUUCGAAGCCCUUGGUUUCCAAAGCCGCUGUUCCCGUCCAGUGUCUGUUUGCUUUACAGCAUCCUCACAUGAGAAGCUGCAGGAACGAAUAGGCAUCACACACACACACACACACACACACACACACACACACACACACACACACACACACACACACACACACACACACACACACACACAGCCUGGAGCCCAGAGAGAGGAUUUCCCAGCAAAACCACCUUACCACCUUAACAUGGCAGUAAAGCCACUGCAUCAACAAUGAAUCAUGAAGUGAGACUGACAGCAGGCAAUAAACAAAACUAGGUGUUUUAAACUCACAAAAAUUCUUUUUUACAGUAAAUGUUUCAAAUACAGCUUGGGAAACAUUAAAAAAAGCCAUAUUUCUACAUUGUUGCAGGUAAAUAAACUCUUACUUUUCUUCAGAAUUAGAAAAGAUUUAUUAGCUUUCAUUUCCACAUGAAACACCAGAGGAUGUACAAUUCAAAGUGAUUUAAAUAUUUUACAAAAAUUAAACAUGUAUUAAUCUAUUUAAAUAAACAUUUGCAUCCUCACUGUUUAGAGUCUGUCAUUACACAAAUAGCCAUAAUGGGACAUGGGUGAAAUGAAUGUCUACUAAUGAACAUCAGCAUUGGUGUUUUUUUUUAACUACCCUGUUCAUUAUUUCGGGACCUUUUGAAUCUGUAUUAAUCUGUU